rnacentral:misc_RNA from 1 species
AAAGUCGUAACAAGGUAACCGUAGGUGAACCUGCGGUUGGAUCAUUAACAAAUUCAACUUUGUUGAAGGGAGUCUUCAAAACAGUAAAAAGAUUUGAAACUCUCUUCUUCAAGCACCCCUUUGUGAACCGUUUAUUGUCUCUGGUGUGGUUAAAUGUAGACUCUAGAGCUUGGGCCUUAAACUCCUUUGCUCUUCGUUUAUGGGGAAACACCUUUUUGGCUUUCCUCACCCACUGUUAUAUAUUUAAACUACUAGUCAAUAUUCGUCUAACCAAGUUAUAUUUUUUAAUAAAAAACAACUUUUGACAACGGAUCUCUUGGCUCUC